rnacentral:lncRNA from 1 species
AUUGUUUUACAAAUUCUUACAGCUCAAAUCACUGAGACUACUUCCCUUGGGUUCUCAGACUUCACUUCGAAAUCACUGCAUUAAUCCAUUGGUUUACAGAACAAGUGCAGGCACUGAGGAGGCCUUGGCAUUGCUGACAAAGAGUUAACAACAAAGAGCACAACAGGUAGGUGAGAGAAAAGGGGCUCAUGUAAACAGGGGAGGGAAGAGAGCUAGAAAAUAAGGACAGGUUUAUCAUUUCAGACACAGGCAGUCUUAGGUAAAAAGGUCUAAGUGAUGCUACAGCUUUGGGCAAUUGUUUUGGCCAGAGUUCCUUCUGAAAGUAGAGGUCGAGACAAAAACAGGAGUGCAGGCGAUUAUUAUUACCGAGGUGACCCCAGAGAAGGACACAGAUACUAAAAAGAGUGAACCGAGACAGCCAAUUCAGGAGACUUAUUUACCAUGGGGGUGCCUGGGGGCUUGAUCUGGCUGAGAAGUUUUGAGAAGCAUACAGAAACUGUGUCCAGAAGAGGGUCAAUGUGGAGAAGUACAUUAAUUAAUUCUAGUCCCCACAGGUAAAAGUUUGCCCCAAGGAGUAUUAAUUCCCCCACACUUCCAAGAACUACAGUGCAUCUGCCCAGAAGGCUGCACCAGCUUCUCACCCCACAGACGGACAAGGGAGGUCCCAAGAGGAACCUGAGGCAUGCUGCAGUCAGCCAAAAGGUGAGAGGGAGGACGCAUUCCUCCGAGGCAAGAGCAUCUUUCCCCUACAAGAAGAACAUUGAAAGUCAACAUUUUACUUCCCUUUGUCUGGCAGGAAGAUGUAUGUGCUGGUGACUAUGAAAGUGUUUAUGACCCAAACAAUAAGCCAAAAUUAAUGAUCAACAAAAACUUAGCAGAAAGGAUAAAAAAGAAAAAAAGAAAGAGAGAGAAAAUAGGAAAGAGAAAAGGCUAAAAACUCCAAUGUGAAGAUGCAACUAAUACCUCACUAGAAGUCUUUUUCUGCCUAAUGCGGAGAAAUAGAACAGUAGUCUCAACUAGAAACCUUUCUAUAAUUCACUACUCCCGCCCAGAAUAAAAGAGUGCUUUUUAUGAGCACUGACCCCUUCUUACCCAAAGGUGGCAUCAACCUGAAGAUAAUGAGCUCCAACAACAAAGGUUAGUCUGCUCCAAAGCUACAGGCUCACAAAAUGAUUUGAAACCUGAGAACGGCUCAUGACGGGACUAGAUGCUUUAAGAAAAUGACAAUAACUGAAUAGACUGAAGCAAAAUUCAUCACUAGUAAGUACUCUACCCACCUUCUCCAAGGCAACAUGAAUAUGGAAGAUGGAUCACCAUCACCUACCACCCAGUCCACAAGUGCACAGGAAAGAUAAAGAAUGGAUAUACUGCAUGUUGGCACAUAAAGAGCCUCAAAGAUAAAUCAGCUGGCGGG